rnacentral:tRNA from 2 species
GGGGGUGUAGCUCAGUGGUAGAGCACUGCAUUCGCAUUGCAGGGGUCAGGGGUUCGAAUCCCCUCACCUCCA